rnacentral:rRNA from 1 species
GUAGUCCACGCCGUAAACGAUGAGUGCUAGGUGUUAGGGGUUUCGAUGCCCUUAGUGCCGAAGUUAACACAUUAAGCACUCCGCCUGGGGAGUACGACCGCAAGGUUGAAACUCAAAGGAAUUGACGGGGGCCCGCACAAGCAGUGGAGCAUGUGGUUUAAUUCGAAGCAACGCGAAGAACCUUACCAGGUCUUGACAUCCUUUGACCACCCUAGAGAUAGGGCUUUCCCCUUCGGGGGACAAAGUGACAGGUGGUGCAUGGUUGUCGUCAGCUCGUGUCGUGAGAUGUUGGGUUAAGUCCCGCAACGAGCGCAACCCUUGAUCUUAGUUGCCAGCAUUUAGUUGGGCAC